UUUAUGGAGAGUUUGAUCCUGGCUCAGGAUGAACGCUGGCGGCGUGCCUAAUACAUGCAAGUCGAGCGAACAGAUAAGGAGCUUGCUCCUUUGACGUUAGCGGCGGACGGGUGAGUAACACGUGGGUAACCUACCUAUAAGACUGGAAUAACUCCGGGAA
rnacentral:rRNA from 1 species